rnacentral:sRNA from 1 species
GGUAUUCCUUAUCUAUCUAAUACGUUGAUUUGUCUGGAACCUGUCCCAUUGGGCUUUCUGUUCUUCAUCUUUCAGCCUGUCGCUUUGUUGGCGGCAUUUGCUCACCGCUGCGAUACAACUCAAACUAUUUCGAACGACAAAAGCACAAUAAGACAGGUUCUGCGUUUAGUUGCCGCGCUCUAAAA